AAAAGCAGGAAAACUUAGCUUCAUCAGCGUGGGAAACAAGUUUAAGCGGUUUUGUUUUAGCUGGAGUAGUCCAGCUCGGGAUGGCUAGAGAGGACUAGUUGAGUUGAGAGAGGAAAGCAGGCACAGCCAGGGGCUUCAGACACAGUUAAAUUUGCUUCUGGAUAAACUUCGAAGUACUGGAGCAAGCUUUAUUCGUUGCAUCAAACCUAACUUAAAGAUGACAAGCCACCACUUUGAAGGUGCUCAAAUUCUGUCUCAGCUUCAGUGUUCAGGGAUGGUGUCUGUUUUGGACUUGAUGCAGGGUGGUUACCCAUCACGAGCUUCAUUUCAUGAACUCUACAACAUGUACAAAAAGUAUAUGCCAGAUAAACUUGCAAGAUUGGAUCCAAGACUAUUUUGUAAGGCUUUGUUUAAAGCUUUGGGCUUAAAUGAAAAUGACUACAAGUUUGGGUUAACCAAAGUAUUUUUUAGACCUGGCAAGUUUGCAGAAUUUGAUCAGAUCAUGAAGUCUGACCCUGACCACUUAGCAGAGUUGGUUAAAAGAGUCAAUCACUGGCUCACAUGCAGUCGCUGGAAGAAAGUUCAGUGGUGCUCACUCUCAGUCAUCAAAU
rnacentral:lncRNA from 1 species